UGUAAAAAAUGUGUUUCCUUGACAAUAUCACACCUUGUCAAAUCACUACCAGGGUUAUAUAUGUACAGACAGGUGUGGAAAUACCUCCUCUGAUUAAUGACACACCUGGUUUGGUUAAUCAAGAAAUGACAGGUAUGUAAAAAAUGUGUUUCCUUGACAAUAUCACACCUGUCAAAUCACUCCCUGGGUUAAUUACAGGUGCGGAAAAUUGAAAAGCCUAAUCUCGUUAACCUGUUUCCACAUUGUUUCACACCUGGUUUGGUUAAUUAGGAUGAUAAGAGUGUGUAUAAAAUGCUUCCUUGACAAUAUCACACCUUGUCAAAUCACUCCCUGGGUUAAUUACAGGUGCGGAAAAUUGAGAAGCCUAAUCUCGUUAACCUGUUUCCACCUUGUUUCACACCUAGUUUGGUUAAUUAGGAUGAUGAAGGUGUCUAUAAAAUGCUUCCUUGACCACUGUACACCUGUCAAAUCACUACCUGGGUUAAUAACAGGUGCGGAAAGUUGAAAAGCCUAAUCUCGUUAACCUGUUUCCACCUUGUUUCACACCUAGUUUGGUUAAUUAGGAUGAUAAGAGUGUCUAUAAAAUGCUUCCUUGACAAUAUCACACCUUGUCAAAUCACUACCUGGGUUAAUUACAGGUGCGGAAAAUUCAAAAACCUAAUCUCGUUAACCUGUUUCCACCAAAUUUCACACCUGGUUUGGUUAAUUAGGAUGAUGAAGGUGUGUAUAAAAUGCUUCCUUGACAAUAUCACACCUUGUCAAAUCACUACCUGGGUUAAUUACAGGUGCGGAAAAUUGAGAGGCCUAAUCUCGUUAACCUGUUUCCACUAUAUUUCACACCUAGUUUGGUUAAUUAGGAUGAUAAUGGUGUGUAUAAAAUGCUUCCUUGACAAUAUCACACCUGUCAAAUCACUCCCUGGGUUAAUUACAGGUGCGGAAAAUUGGAAAGCCUAAUCUCGUUAACCUGUUUCCACCAAAUUUCACACCUGGUUUGGUUAAUUAAGAUGAUGAAGGUGUAUAUGAAAUGCUUCCUUAAUCAUUUCACAGGUAAGUCAAAUCAUUAGCAAGAUCAUUAGCACCAGGAAACAGGUGCGGAAAUUAGACUAGCGAACUCGUUAACCUGUGCAGUCUUAGUUCACAGGUGGCAACAGGUAGCAUUGAGCAGUGGACUUUUUUUCUUUUUUUUUCUACAGUCUUUUUUGCCCUUGAACCGUCUCCUCCGUUGUGAAAAAUAAAAUAAAAUAAUAAAUAAAUAAAAAAUCCUUCCCUUUCUUACUUCACGAGCGAGAUAAAUUCACCUAUAGCCAAGUAUAGGAAAAUCAUCAACGCCAUUUCAAGCUGUACCCAUUUCAUCGUCAGUGUUACCAAGUGCAGGAAAAAUAACACCUCAUCCUCUUAAUCUGUACCCAAUUUAGAUGUCAGUGUUACCAGGUCAAGGGAACAUGAACACUCACAUUGUCAAACGUCUGAAGUGCUUGUGAUGUCUAUUGUCCGAGGCUAGAGAGAUGAGAUGGCGGGUUGGGGUGAGUGUUUUUCCCCGUUCACAGCGCGGAGGUCUUGCAAAUCUACCGCCAGGCUCAGGAAACUUGGAUAACUUCUGUGUGAGCUUUUAGAAUUUACAAAACUACCGUCAGGCUCAGGAAACUCGGAUAACUUCUGUGAGAGCUUUUACAAUUUACAGAACUACCAUCAGGGCCAUAAACCCACCCAUGGAAACUCGGAUAACUUCUGUGAGAGCUUUUAGAAUUUACAAAACUACCACCAGGACCAUAAACCCACGCACGGAAACUCGGAUAAUUUCUGUGAUAGCUUUUAGAAUUUACAAAACUACCACUAGGGUCAGAAAACCACCCAUGGAAACUCGGAUAACUUCUGUGAGAGCUUUUAGAAUUUACAAAACUACCGUCAGGCUCAGAAAACCAUGCACAGGAAACUCGGAUAAUUUCUGUGAGAGCUUUUAGAAUUUACAAAACUACCACUAGGUCCAUAAACCCACCCACAGGAACUCGGAUAACUUCUGUGAGAGCUUUUAGAAUUUACAAAACUACCACUAGGUCCAUAAACCCACCCAUGGAAACUCGGAUAACUUCUGUGAGAGCUUUUACAAUUUACAAAACUACCACUAGGUCCAUAAACCCACCCAUGGAAACUCGGAUAACUUCUGUGAGAGCUUUUAGAAUUUACAAAACUACCACCAGGCUCAGAAAACCACCCAUGGAAACUCGGAUAACUUCUGUGAGAGCUUUUAGAAUUUACAAAACUACCACUAGGUCCAUAAACCCACCCAUGGAAACUCGGAUAACUUCUGUGAGAGCUUUUACAAUUUACAGAACUACCAUCAGGGCCAUAAAUCCCCCCAUGAAAACUCGGAUAACUUCUGUGAGAGCUUUUAGAAUUUACAAAACUACCACUAGGCCCAUAAACCCACGCAUGAAAACUCGGAUAACUUCUGUGAGAGCCUUUACAAUUUACAAAACUACCACUAGGCCCAUAAAACCACCCAUGGAAACUCGGAUAACUUCUGUGAAAGCUUUUACAAUUUACAAAACUACCACUAGGCCCAUAAACCCACCCAUGAAAUCUCGGAUAACUUCUACCGAGAGCCUUUGAAAUAUAUGAACGAAGUCUUGCAGGAUCCUGAAAAUAGACUUAACACCUGACCAACUUAGCCUGUAUCAAAUUUCUCUCGUGUUGGUAAUGAAAGAUAUGAACAAAGCCUUCCAGCGUUUGAUAAUGUGCGCAGAACACCUCAAAUUAACCAGCACCCUGUCACCUUGUGUUAGUAGAGGCAGGAACCAGACCCAAUAUGCAUUAACAGCAACACCCCACAAAGUUAUUCCACAACCUUCACCGAGAGUUACAUAAGGAAAAACACACCAGAAUAUUAUAAUUACAGAUAUAAUAGAAAUAGUACAGUACACCCUUGUUUUGAUGGACCAUUUGGGGGAGCUCCUUGCAUGUAUCGGAACGGCAAAUAAUCGCAUAAACUCCUAAGAGGGGGCCAUCGUUAGGGGCACUUUCAUGGUCAUUUUGUUUGUUUUGGUCGUUGCCAGUGGCGUCGAUCACUGUUAAAGUAUUUCCACGUGAAACUGACCAAUGGGGUAGUGGCAGCUGUGGUCACAUGCCGGAGAGAGACAGAAGGGGAAGGAAUCAUAGGAGAAGGGAAAGUUUGGUUUAGUGGGCGCAACAUCUGUGGUCAUAUGCCGGAGAGAGACAGAAGGGGAAGGAAUUAUAGGAGAAGGGAAAGUUUGGUUUAGUGGGCGCAACAUCUGUGGUCAUAUGCCGGAGAGAGACAGAAGGGGAAGGAAUUAUAGGAGAAGGGAAAGUUUCGUUUAGUGGGCGCAACAUCUGUGGUCAUAUGCCGGAGACAGAAGGGGAAAGAAUUAUAGAAGGGAACAGACCCCAGGAGACAGGACACAACCCCUGAUUAAUACCUGGUACCCAUUCACUGCUGGGUGGACAGGGGCGUAGGGUAUCGGAAAAGCCACCAAAAUUUUUCCACUCCGCCCGGGAAUCGAACCUGGGCUCUCUCGAUCGUGAGCCGAGCGUGCUAACCACUGCACCACGAAGCCCCCACGCCACCACUGGCAACGAUCAAAGGAAAGUGACUGAAAGUGUCCCUCAGUCAUGGGAGUAUUGAACAUUGCAAGUAUGAGUUGUGGGCAGCCCGGGAGUCCCACUGACCGAAAAAUCCCAGCGGAAACUUCAAAAUCCCAGCGGAAACUUCAAAAUCCCAGCGGAAACUUCAAAAUCCCAGCGGAAACUUCAAAAUCCCAGCAGAAACUUCAAAAUCCCAGCGGAAACUUCAAAAUCCCAGCGGAAACUUCAAAAUCCCAGCGGAAACUUCAAAAUCCCAGCGGAAACUUCAAAAUCCCAGCUGAAACUUCAAAAUCCCAGCGGAAACUUCAAAAUCCCAGCGGAAACUUCAAAAUCCCAGCGGAAACUUCAAAAUCCCAGCGGAAACUUCAAAAUCCCAGCGGAAACUUCAAAAUCCCAGCGGAAACUUCAAAAUCCCAGCGGAAACUUCAAAAUCCCAGCGGAAACUUCAAAAUCCCAGCGGAAACUUCAAAAUCCCAGCGGAAACUUCAAAAUCCCAGCGGAAACUUCAAAAUCCCAGCGGAAACUUCAAAAUUACAGCGGAAACUUCAAAAUUACAGCGGAAAAAGGCAGAACCGGAACUCCUGUCACUCGCCCUUAAGGGGUUAAACUUAAAAUUCAUUAGGUCCGUCUAAGCAAGGGUUAACUAUAGUAAUAAUAACAAUAGAGGAACUACAAUUAUACACACCAUGCAAUAUCCGAUAAUACAAUGCAGGCUCUAUAAUACAAGGUCAGCACAGCAAAACACAGCAUCUCUAUAUACUAUAAAAAUAAGAAUGCCCAUUUCACAGCCAGUGUACCCAUCCCAGGACAGCGUUGCCAGGAAAAAGUGUGUACCCAUCCCAGGACAGUGUUGCCAGGAAAAAGUGUGUACCCAUCCCAGGACAGUGUUGCCAGGAAAAUGUGUGUACCCAUCCCAGGACAGUGUUGCCAGGAAAAAGUGUGUACCCAUCCCAGGACAGCGUUGCCAGGAAAAAGUGUGUACCCAUCCCAGGACAGUGUUGCCAGGAAAAAGUGUGUACCCAUCCCAGGACAGUGUUGCCAGGAAAAUGUGUGUACCCAUCCCAGGACAGUGUUGCCAGGAAAAUGUGUGUACCCAUCCCAGGACAGUGUUGCCAGGAAAAAGUGUGUACCCAUCCCAGGACAGUGUUGCCAGGAAAAAGUGUGUACCCAUCCCAGGACAGUGUUGCCAGGAAAAAGUGUGUACCCAUCCCAGGACAGUGUUGCCAGGAAAAUGUGUGUACCCAUCCCAGGACAGUGUUGCCAGGAAAAAGUGUGUACCCAUCCCAGGACAGUGUUGCCAGGAAAAAGUGUGUACCCAUCCCAGGACAGUGUUGCCAGGAAAAAGUGUGUACCCAUCCCAGGACAGUGUUGCCAGGAAAAAGUGUGUACCCAUCCCAGGACAGUGUUGCCAGGAAAAAGUGUGUACCCAUCCCAGGACAGUGUUGCCAGGAAAAUGUGUGUACCCAUCCCAGGACAGUGUUGCCAAGAAAAACUGUAUACCUAUCCCUGUUUAGCGACAAAGUGUACCCAUCCCAGGACAGUGUUGCCAGGUAAAACUGUAUACCUAUCCCUGUUUAGCGACAAAGUAUACCCAUCCCAGGACAGUGUUGCCAAGUAAAAUUGUAUAACUAUCCCUCUAUAGCCACAAAGUGUACCCAUCCCAGGACAGUGUUGCCAGGUCAAAUAUGUAGCUACCCCCUCUGUAAGCCCCACAAGAAAAUACAGCCAUACCUCAGUUUACGAGCUUAAUUUCUUGGGGGAUUUCGCUCGUAAAUCCAAAACCUCGUAAACUAAAAUGAUCGCAGUUCUGAAAACCCCAAGAUCGCACAGGAGAGUUCGAACGUAAGUGGAUACGAGUGCGUGGAUCCUACCUCUGAGAGUGUACAAUGUGGAAUGACCGACUGCGACCCCAUUCCCACUGUCUUCCGCUCGGAGCGCUCUCGUCCUGCGAUGAAUGAACGGAACACGGACUCGUAUCUCCGACUUGCACAAACUGGAUGGUCGUAAAAAGCACCACUCGUAAACAAGGCAUUUUUAGUGAUAUUUUUAUGCCUGUAAAUCAACACUCGCAAAGGACGGCAUUUUUAGACAUUUUUUUGCUCGUAAAUCGAACCACUCGUGAACGACAUUUUUUUGGACGUAAAUCAACACUCGUAAAAACCACGGCAUUUUUAGUGACAUUUUUCUGCUCGUAAAUGAACACUCAUAAACGAAGGCAUUUUUAGCGACAUUUUUUUGGCCGUAAAUCAACACUCGUAAAAACCACGGCAUUUUUAGUGACAUUUUUCUGCUCGUAAAUGAACACUCGUAAACGAAGGCAUUUUUAGCGACAUUUUUUUGGCCGUAAAUCAACACUCGUAAAAACCACGGCAUUUUUAGUAACAUUUUUCUGCUCGUAAAUGAACACUCAUAAACGAAGGCAUUUUUAGCGACAUUUUUUUGGCCGUAAAUCAACACUCGUAAAAACCACGGCAUUUUUAGUGACAUUUUUCUGCUCGUAAAUGAACACUCAUAAACGAAGACAUUUUUUGCAACAUUUUUUUUGCUCGUUAAUCAAACCACUCGUAAACAAGACAUUUUUAGCGACAUUUUUCCGCUCGUAAAUCCAGGCAUUUUUAGACAUUUUUCUGCUCGUAUAUCAAACCCCUCAUGAACGAAGGCAUUUUAAGAGACAUUUUCCCCCGUAAAUUAACGCUCGUAAGCCAAGCUAUGACUAUAUUAAUAAGCUGUUAUACAUUCAAGUAACACAUAGAUCUAUUUUGACCCUGUUUGUCUAUUCCAGCCCCUGACCUUGACCCUGAAUCUAGAUGGUCACAGGAGCUGCCUUAUAUGGAGCUAAUGACCUCUUGUAGACUCCAUAUGUUCUUAUGCACAAGGGUAUUUUAGAGAGUUAAGUACUAAUACCAUGCAGGAUCCAAUGCUUUAUAAAGGGUAUCAAAUGCAUAACACCUAUCUUAUAAUUGCCUCUCAAUAAUAAUAAUAAUAAUAAUAAUAAUAAUAAUAAUAAUGUGUGUUGUGAAAUGCAUAUAGUUUAACCUCAUUCAUAGUUUAU